rnacentral:rRNA from 1 species
CCCUUAGAUGUUCUGGGCCGCACGCGUGCUACACUGACCGGCGCAACAAGUUUCUUUCCUUGGCUCGAUAGGCCUGGGUAAUCUUUGAACGCCGGUCGUGAUGGGGAUAGAUCCUUGCAAUUUUUGAUCUUCAACGAGGAAUUCCUAGUAAAUGCGAGUCAUCAUCUCGCGUUGAUUACGUCCCUGCCCUUUGUACACACCGCCCGUCGCACCUACCGAUUGAAUGGUCCGGUGAAGCCUCGGGAUUGCGAAUGCUUCGUGCGGACGCGAGAACUUGGCUAAACCUUACCAUUUAGAGGAAGGAGAAGUCGUAACA